AUGAAUCUUUUGGACGGCGCUCCGUCGUGGCUGGGGCCGCUGCUCGGCGCGAGGUUCUUCGAGCGCUGUGCCGCGCACCCCAGACUGGCCAAGAAUGAGUGCAACCACUACUGCCUUAGCUGCGCCGGCGAGGAGAACGCCGUCUGCUGCCCCAUGUGCCUCUCCGGCCACCGCGACCACCAUGUCCUCCAGGUAUUUAACAUAUACAAGCGCAUCACGUGCCCAUACGUGGUCCACCAAGACAAGGUGGUGUACCUCAACCCGAGGCCACAGGCGCCGCAGCACGCCGUCAAGUGCUCUGGCUCCGGCGGUGCAUGCCUGGUGUGCGGCCGGAAACUCGUUGACGCAAUCUUCAGUUUCUGCUCCCUCGGCUGCAAGAGCACCAUCAGCAGCAGAAAGGGUGCCAGUGGAGGACAUGGGCGUAGGCAAUGGCUUGCACUUGAGCAUACCAGCACGGCGCAAGAGAUCAAGAGAGUAAUUCUUCUGGGUGAGAGUCAAACUGCCACGAGACUGAUGAGCGACCUCAAUACCCAGGAAGAAAUGAAGCUGUCCCAAAUCCUUAACUGCAAAAUCACGACCAAGUGCAGUCACAAGAGCAUCAGCAGCCGUCGGAGAUGA
rnacentral:rRNA from 1 species